AUAACAGGUCGCGUCUUACACAACGCGCCGGGCUGCAGCAAGUCGUGCGGAGAGGAGGGGGGGGGGACAGAAAAGUGGGAGGACCCUGCCGAGACCGCACCGCGAGCUACAACGACGCGGGGGGAUCGAAGCCGAGUGUCCACAGAGGUACCGCGGCAUCCGAGUCCGCUUCUCAGAGAGACGCUUUAAUCUUGAGUCCGGAGCCGUUUAUAAACCACCGGAACGUCUGUGAUCUGGAUCGCCGCGUCCUGAAUCCUGAAUGCUCUGCUUGUGACACCAGCGUUACUCUCAGCGCGUCCAGUCAUCGAUCAUCUGGCCCCUCGGUGCCACAGAGAUAUGGUGUCAUAACAUGAUAAUGCGGCUUCACACAUUCGGCGGGAUUCCGGCGCUAAAAAAAAAAACAGGUGGGGAUGGGGGACAAGUUUACAGGAGUAAAAAAAAAAAAAUCACCAACAAAGCCUCCCAGCAGUCCGGUCGGAGAGGCUCCCGGGGGCGGCGGGCUGAAGAGGAGCCACGAAGCCGCGCAGGACGCACGACUUUUACGCACGGAGAGAUAUUUGGAUCAAAUAAUAAUAAACUCGUUUAACUCGUCGAAUUUGUUAAUUCAAUUAUGUAUUGGUGAGUAGAAGCUCUAAUUUUCUCAUUAUUUUUUUAUUUGUUUACGGUAAAUUCAAAUAUUAAAAAGCGUAUUCUUGUAACAGAUAUUUUUCUGGAGGAAAGUUAUUUUUUGAAUUAAAAGGAGAAGCUGUGGGUGUAGUAAACAGCAUUAUGUAUCUCACGACACCACGAGGCACUCUGCGUUUUGGAGGGUCAUUGAGAGAGAAAAAGCCAAAUUAACAUGAAAGGAGACUGACCACUAAAAUAACUACACCGGCAUUAUAAAGCAAUUAAGCUCCUUCAAUUAGCGUCUGUAAAAGCAAACUGGAGCUCCACUUUCUCUCCUGGAGCUGCUCUUCCGCGAGGGUCAGCGCGUUUUCUGGCAAUCUGGGAGAGAGAGAGAGAGAGCAGGGAGGGGGGUCUAAAUACCGUCAUUUCUGUUUAAUCCGCUUUGCGAUGACGGUAAUGCUUCGAGUCGUUUCAAUAAAAUCAGCAGGUAUUACUUUCAAACGGCUGAAUGUGAAAUGACAGCAUGUUCGACUGCCGAAACAAACAGGGCGUCCUGCGCGCGCUGACUUCUGCUGUUUGGACGCAGAGACAAGUUUCAGCCUUUGUGUCAGUUUAUUAAAAAUGCAUUCCUCUAAUUUCAGGUUACUGUGUAAAAUCCUAUUUAUUUUGGGUCAGAUAAUGCUGUGAUAAAUACAGACUCAUUUGAUGAAGCCAUUUAGUUUUAACGCGUAGAGUUUUAGGUGUAAAACAAAUACGAAUGAAUAAUCUGCGUCUGUUUGAACAAACAACCAGCAGAGCCCGACGAGUCAAACCGAGGUCAAACUACUGCUUCUUUUUGCAGCCCGCAGCGCAGACGUGUCGGGAUCUGCACAAAAAAAGGCCACCGGUCGUCUCUGCUUCGUAUCAGUCGCUGCGGCACAGACAGACAGACAGACCGACCGACCGACAGACCUGCUGCAGAGCGUUCACACAGCUCAUCUGAUUAUAUGAAACUACUGGUGUAUUCUCGCCCGUCGGGAGACCCGUCCGGACUCUUCGUGGUGCGUUCAGGGUCAGCUUUCUCUUUUAAAAGUUAGUGUAAUGAGCUAUAAUGUAGCAUUCAGUAUUAAAGUCUGAUUCGUCAUCGUUUAAAAACUGAUAUUAACUAAAUUAUUGUAGUUUGUCUUAAAUUAUUGUCACAUGACUCUUUUUUUUUUAAAUAUUGGCAUUAAUAACUCGAGAGUAUAAUUACAUCACAUCCUAAAUACAAAGGCUUGAGUUUAAUGGUGUUAAAGUAUAAAAGCAAGAAUAUAAAGUGUCUCAAUAUUGAUUUGAAACCAUGAAAUCAGUUAUUUUUGGGGAUGAAGGGAAAGGCUCCCUCGCUUCUGUUGGAUCCUGCAGUUUGGACCAAAUGUUCCUCUGAGCUGCUUUUUUUAGCCUCUCACAUUAAUGCUGAACCAUUUGCGCCUUCUACCGGAGAUGUGAGGAACUACACGAGGAGCAGGACACGCAGAGGAAGAGUCCGGCUCAGAUGAUGAAGACAGGAAGCAAAAAGUUAAAAAAAUAAUUCACUAAAUGCAGAAUAUUCAGUUUGAAUCUGUAAUGAAGUCGGUUCUUAAAUUCCAUCAUGUACAAAACUAUCUAUGAUGAUAAUAAAAUACAUAAGAAGAG